UGGGGAAUUUUGGACAAUGGGCGAAAGCCUGAUCCAGCAAUGCCGCGUGUGUGAAGAAGGCCUUCGGGUUGUAAAGCACUUUUGUCCGGAAAGAAAUGGCUCUGGUUAAUACCUGGGGUCGAUGACGGUACCGGAAGAAUAAGGACCGGCUAACUACGUGCCAGCAGCCGCGGUAAUACGUAGGGUCCAAGCGUUAAUCGGAAUUACUGGGCGUAAAGCGUGCGCAGGCGGUUGUGCAAGACCGAUGUGAAAUCCCCGAGCUUAACUUGGGAAUUGCAUUGGUGACUGCACGGCUAGAGUGUGUCAGAGGGGGGUAGAAUUCCACGUGUAGCAGUGAAAUGCGUAGAGAUGUGGAGGAAUACCGAUGGCGAAGGCAGCCCCCUGGGAUAACACUGACGCUCAUGCACGAAAGCGUGGGGAGCAAACAGGAUUAGAUACCCUGGUAGUCCACGCCCUAAACGAUGUCAACUAGUUGUUGGGGAUUCAUUUCCUUAGUAACGUAGCUAACGCGUGAAGUUGACCGCCUGGGGAGUACGGUCGCAAGAUUAAAAGCUCAAAUGAAUUGACGGGGUCAUAGCUG
rnacentral:rRNA from 1 species